rfam:Triticum urartu cultivar G1812 contig1454883, whole genome shotgun sequence.
UAUCAUAUAGAUCAAUAGGUAGAUCAUGAAUUUUUGGUAUUCGAGGUUGAGUGUUCGAAUCACUCUAUGAUAA